rnacentral:rRNA from 1 species
UACGAAGGGGGCUAGCGUUGUUCGGAUUUACUGGGCGUAAAGCGCACGUAGGCGGAUCGUUAAGUCGGGGUGAAAUCCUGGAGCUCAACUCCAGAACUGCCUUCGAUACUGGCGAUCUCGAGUCCGGAAGAGGUGAGUGGAACUCCUAGUGUAGAGGUGGAAUUCGUAGAUAUUAGGAAGAACACCAGUGGCGAAGGCGGCUCACUGGUCCGGUACUGACGCUGAGGUGCGAAAGCGUGGGGAGCAAACAGG